UCUCUGGUGGUCCAGAGGUUAGGACGCAGCACUUUCACUGCCUAGGUCUGGGUUCAAUCCCUAGUCAGGGAA
rfam:Ovis aries breed Texel chromosome 3, whole genome shotgun sequence.